GUGGGAGGGUUGGGUUCCUUUUCACCUUUACUUUCUUCACAGAGUGUCCCUGGUCGGGUGCGUUUCUCUGACGCUGGCGCUGGUGCAGUCCCUUCUGCGGUUACAGCUCCCGUGGGUCCGCCGCAACCUGUGGACCAGGUUAUGGGGUCGCCGCAGCUGCCGUCACAUUCCAUUGCCGCUGGUGAGUACGCUGGUUUAUCGGGGGAUGCCUUAAGGGGUAUUGGUGCAGGGGUCCUACCUCAAUGGGAC